AAAGACCGAAUUCUUCGGUUUCGUGUCCAACAUUUGACCGUCCGUCUUAUAUGAAAUUUUUUUAUGAUUAGUAUUUUUAUUAUUGUUAGAUGAUAAAACAUGAAUAAUACUUUAUGCAUGACUUAUCUUUUUAUUUUUUUUAUAUUUUUUUAAAAUAAGAUGAACGGUCAAACGUUAGACACGGAAGUAUCUUGCUUGUGCACCUAAC
rfam:Oryza nivara chromosome 8, whole genome shotgun sequence.